rnacentral:rRNA from 1 species
GAUGAACGCUGGCGGCGCGCCUAACACAUGCAAGUCGAACGAUUAAAGCACCUUCGGGUGUGUAUAAAGUGGCGAACGGCUGAGUAACACGUGGGCAACCUGCCCCUUUCAUUGGGAUAGCCACGGGAAACCGUGGAUAAUACCGAAUACUUCGAGACUUCCGCAUGGAAGACUCGAGAAAGCUCCGGCGGAGAGGGAUGGGCCCGCGGCCUGUUAGCUUGUUGGUGGGGUAACGGCCUACCAAGGCAAUGAUGAGUAGCUGGGUUGAGAGACCGACCAGCCAGAUUGGGACUGAGACACGGCCCAGACUCCUACGGGAGGCAGCAGUGGGGAAUCUUGCACAAUGGGCGAAAGCCUGAUGCAGCGACGCCGCGUGCGGGAUGAAGGCCUUCGGGUUGUAAACCGCUUUCAGCAGGGACGAGGCGAAAGUGACGGUACCUGCAGAAGAAGCCCCGGCUAACUACGUG